rnacentral:rRNA from 1 species
GAUGAACGCUGGCGGCGUGCCUAAUACAUGCAAGUCGAGCGGACGGACGAGAAGCUUGCUGCUCUGAUGUUAGCGGCGGACGGGUGAGUAACACGUGGAUAACCUACCUAUAAGACUGGGAUAACUUCGGGAAACCGGAGCUAAUACCGUAUAAUAUUUUGAACCGCAGGGUUCAAAAGUAAAAGACGGUCUUGCGGUCACUUAUAGAUGGAUCCGCGCUGCAUGAGCUAGUUGUUAAGGUAACGGCUUACCAAGGCAACGAGGCAUAGCCGAGCUGAGAGGGGGAUCGCCCACCCUGGAACUGAGCCACGGUCAAGACUACUACGGGAGGCAGCAGUAGGGAACCUUCCGCAAUGGGCGAAAGCCUGACGGAGCAACGCCGCGUGAGUGAUGAAGGUCUUCGGAUCGUAAAACUCUGUUAUUAGGGAAGAACAUAUGUGUAAGUAAAUGUGCACAUCUUGACGGUACCUAAUCAGAAAGCAACGGCUAACUACGUG